GGAACGACCAAUAGCAAUACCGUAAAUACACUCAUUUUCAAGGAUAAAACGAUAAGAUUAUUUUUUAAACCAAACCACAAGGUUUCCCUUUCCUUCCAGAUCAUUCCCGUUGUAUCUCUCUCUCUCUCUUCUUCCCCAAGCUCUCCAUUUAUGGAUCCAAACAACAACAAGAGCAUUAAAUUCUCAGCGCGACCAAUUUUGUGUUGAAGAUGAAAAGGGAGUACCCAACUCCAAACUCUGCCGCAGAUCAUUUUCUGGAAGCAAAAUCAUUGUCGGACGAUUUCGUAGGGGACAGCUCAAUUAUUGACCCAAUGGCUCCAAAAACACCACAACCUGAGCAGGAAAAACUGACUGAGUAUUAAGAGGAAAAGUUAGCUAAUUCCGAGUUAAAUGCAUACAAUGAUUUAAGCAAACAACCUCCAGCUGUGCGAUUGAACAAGGAAUUGGGCUUCAUCCUGAAAUUCAAAGUAAAGAGAGAGGAUGAGAUUCGAGAAUUUGGGCUACCAUAUACGAUAGUCAGGCCUUGUGCCUUAACUGAGGAGCCUGCAGGAGCUUAUCUCAUUUUCGAUCAAGGAGACAAUUUCACGGUAUUAGCUCGAAAAUUAGAAAUUUAUUUUCUGAUUUAUAAAGCCUUGUGGGGCCUGUGUAAUUUCAUGGUAUUUGGUCAGAAGUUAGAGAGUUGUUUCUGAUUUAUAGUCUUGUGGAGCCUGUAUCAUUCUUUUUUUUUCCAUAAAGUCUAGCUGAAGAUCACUUUGCACAAUGUUGAUAAUUUCUCAUGAGAACAUUUAUAUCUGAUAUGUACAAGGGAAGAUAUCCCGUGAAGAGGUUGCUCGAA